rnacentral:rRNA from 1 species
GAUGAACGCUGGCGGCGUGCCUAAUACAUGCAAGUCGAACGAAGAUCUAGCUUGCUAGAUCUUAGUGGCGAACGGGUGAGUAAUACAUAAAUAAUCUGCCCAUAUGACUGGGAUAACUAUUGGAAACGAUAGCUAAUACCGGAUAGGUUGAUCGGAGGCAUCUCUGAUGAAUUAAAGUAGGAUUUCUACACAAAUGGAUGAGUUUAUGGCGCAUUAGUUAGUUGGUGGGGUAACGGCCUACCAAGACGAUGAUGCGUAGCCGACCUGAGAGGGUGACCGGCCACACUGGGACUGAGACACGGCCCAGACUCCUACGGGAGGCAGCAGUAGGGAAUUUUCGGCAAUGGGCGCAAGCCUGACCGGGCAACGCCGCGUGAGUGAUUAAGGCCUUCGGGUUGUAAAGCUCUGUUGUAAGGGAAGAACAUUCAGGAUAGGAAAUGAUCUUGAACUGACGGUACCUUACCAGAAAGCCACGGCUAACUACGUGCCAGCAGCCGCAGUAAUAC